rnacentral:rRNA from 1 species
CCUUUAGGUUCGGAAUAGCUCCUGGAAACGGGUGGUAAUGCCGAAUGUGCCCUUCGGGGGAAAGAUUUAUCGCCUUUAGAGCGGCCCGCGUCUGAUUAGCUAGUUGGUGAGGUAAAGGCUCACCAAGGCGACGAUCAGUAGCUGGUCUGAGAGGAUGACCAGCCACAUUGGGACUGAGACACGGCCCAAACUCCUACGGGAGGCAGCAGUGGGGAAUCUUGCGCAAUGGGCGAAAGCCUGACGCAGCCAUGCCGCGUGAAUGAUGAAGGUCUUAGGAUUGUAAAAUUCUUUCAGUAGGGACGAUAAUGACGGUACCUACAGAAGAAGCCCCGGCUAACUUCGUGCCAGCAGC